rnacentral:rRNA from 1 species
UACGUAGGGGGCUAGCGUUAUCCGGAAUUACUGGGCGUAAAGGGUGCGUAGGUGGUUUCUUAAGUCAGAGGUGAAUGGCUACGGCUCAACCGUAGUAAGCCUUUGAAACUGAGAAACUUGAGUGCAGGAGAGGAGAGUAGAAUUCCUAGUGUAGCGGUGAAAUGCGUAGAUAUUAGGAGGAAUACCAGUUGCGAAGGCGGCUCUCUGGACUGUAACUGACACUGAGGCACGAAAGCGUGGGGAGCAAACAGGAUUAGAUACCCCUGUAGUCCCU